GACGAACGCUGGCGGCGUGCUUAACACAUGCAAGUCGAGCGGUAAGGCCCUUUCGGGGGUACACGAGCGGCGAACGGGUGAGUAACACGUGGGUGACCUGCCCUCAGCUCUGGGAUAAGCCUGGGAAACCGGGUCUAAUACCGGAUAUGACUCCAUGACGCAUGUUGUGGGGUGGAAAGCCUUGUGCGGCUGAGGAUGGGCCCGCGGCCUAUCAGCUUGUUGGUGGGGUGAUGGCCUACCAAGGCGACGACGGUAGCCGGCCUGAGAGGGCGACCGGCCACACUGGGACUGAGACACGGCCCAGACUCCUACGGGAGGCAGCAGUGGGGAAUCUUGCGCAAUGGGCGAAAGCCUGACGCAGCGACGCCGCGUGAGGGAUGACGGCCUGG
rnacentral:rRNA from 1 species